GGGAUGAUCACAGGAAAGAGGGGCUGAAGGAAGCUUGUCUUGUCCUCCUCUGUUCCCCAAGGCCAAAUCAUUAGAGAACAUGAGGGAUUUCAGCUUCUGGACUCAUCCAUGUGGAAGAAGUUGAGACACAGAGAGAUCAUACAUUGCAGUGGAAAGACACCAGUGCUAACAGUAGUCACAUGCAUGGAAUGUCCUUCACUAUCCAGCUUUUAAAGGCUUUGAAGAAGGAUAUUCCUGCUCAAUAAUGCUCAAAAAACCUGCAGCAACACCAAGGCCUGAGUCGGGAA